rnacentral:misc_RNA from 1 species
AAGACUAUAGACCUGCGGAGUACCUGCGGAAGGAUCAUUACUGAGUGAGGGCCCUCUGGGUCCAACCUCCCACCCGUGUUUAUUGUACCUUGUUGCUUCGGCGAGCCCGCCUCACGGCCGCCGGGGGGCAUUUGCCCCCGGGCCCGCGCCCGCCGAAGACAUCAUUGAACUCUGUCUGAAGAUUGCAGUCUGAGUAGAUUAGCUAAAUCAGUUAAAACUUUCAACAACGGAUCUCUAGAU